AGAGUUUGAUCAUGGCUCAGAAUGAACGUUGGCGGCGUGGAUUAGGCAUGCAAGUCGUGCGCGAUUUUACGGAUUGAAACUUCGGUCGAUUGAAGUAAAUGAAAGCGGCGAAAGGGAGAGUAACGCGUGGAUAUCUGCCCUUGGCCCCAGAAUAGCUACGGGAAACUGUAGGUAAUGCUGGAUAAUAUCUCCGGAUCAAAGGUGUGAUUCCGGCCGAGGAUGAGUCCGCGUCCUAUUAGGUUGUUGGCGGGGUAAUAGCCCACCAAGCCGAAGAUGGGUACCGGGUGUGAGAGCAUGGCCCGGCUCACUGGGACUGAGACACUGCCCAGACGUCUACGGAUGGCUGCAGUCGAGAAUCUUCCGCAAUGGACGAAAGUCUGACGGAGCGACGCCGCGUGCGGGAUGAAGGCCUUCGGGUUGUAAACCGCUGUCAGUUGGGAGGAAAUGCUAUGGGGUUCUCUCCAUAGCUUGACCGAUCUUCAGAGGAAGUACGGGCUAAGUACGUGCCAGCAGCCGCGGUAAUACGUACCGUACGAACGUUAUUCGGAAUUACUGGGCUUAAAGAGUCCGUAGGCGGCUUUAAAGGUGAGGUGUGAAAUCCCACGGCUUAACCGUGGAAUUGCGCUUCAAACCAUAAAGCUAGAGGGAGAUAGAGGAAAGCGGAACUGAUGGUGGAGCGGUGAAAUGCGUUGAUAUCAUCAGGAACACCGGUGGCGAAAGC
rnacentral:rRNA from 1 species